rnacentral:lncRNA from 1 species
GGGAACGUUAGAGAUUGGAUUUAAAUAAAAGAGAAGACUCUCUAUAUCUCACAGAGGCUUUGCAGUUAGAUGAAGUUAUGUUUUUAAAUACUUGUCAAGUUCAUUUCAUCUUCUUCGUGCUUUGAUAUUAAUUUUAUUUGGCUAUAUGAGUCAAUACUUUACAGUCGCUAUGAGACUGAUGAUCUCUGCAAUUCUCGCCAUGAGAGUGUUGUAGAUUUCAUACUCAAAGUUGUAUUCCUUUUCUUAUUCAAGUUUAUAAAGAGAUUUACAAAGUUCUGUAGAUCGAGGUAGCUAAACCUUAUCAUUGGUGCUGUGAAACUGGUUCUGAGUCGAUCGCGAUCGCGAUGCCUUCUCGAAGUUCGUCACCAUCGGAGGUUUUGAAUCAGCCAGAUUCGGCGGAGGAAGAUGUUUCGAUG